GCCCGCCUCAGUCCUCCCUCAGCGUCUUACCUUGCCUCCUCACCGAGCCUGGGCCGGCUUCCCUCCGCCGACGUCAGGCCGUCGCUCGUUGCUCAGGGCGAGAAUCUCGCGGUCUUCUGACCUCCAAUGCGCAAGUCAGUGGCGUCACAUCCUGGCAACGGUACUACCCUGGGUUCCGGGCAGGGGUGGAACUGGAUUCUGCCUGGAUGGGGAUCGGAUGGGGGUGGAGGUUUGAUUUGGGAAGCAGAGCACAGCAGCCCAAAUUUGUUGUAAUGGCGGCGGCUACAGACUUGGCAUAUGGCAUAAGACACACAGAGAGAGCCUUGCUGGUGUAGCUGAGAUUUACGACCCUCAUCCAACCAAACCAUUUCAGAUUCUUGGGGCUCAGAGCUCUCAUCGGAAAGACAUCUAUUCUGGGAGCAGGUAUAUCUCUUGCUGAGCAUGUGCUUCCACCCUGGAGGUGUCUUGGGUGAGCAUAGGUACCCUUGUGACUAUGAAGAUUGACAAAAAGUUGACGGCAACGAUGAAUUCUCUUCCAGAACUUACAUCCCAGAAGGCCCUCCCCUACUUCGGGUCUCCCUAGAGAGUGGAGAGACCUGCUGCCCUUGAAGAAGCAAACAGCCAUGUUGUGAGCUGCCUAAGCCUCUAGGUCUUGAGGGAAGCUUACAGUUAAGAGCCAGCAAAAGCCAGGGCCCUCAGUCAUGCCACACAAGGAAACGAAUCCUGCCAGCAACUAUGGGGGCUUGGAAGAGGAUAUUAAGCUUCAGUUGAGAAUGCAGCCUGACUGACACCAUCAUUGCAGCCUUGUGAGACCCCAAUCAGAGGACCCAGCUGAGCUGUACCCAGACUCCUAACCCACGGAAACUGAGAAAAUAAAUGUGUGCUAUUUAUAGCUGCU
rnacentral:lncRNA from 10 species